rnacentral:tRNA from 1 species
GCGCCUGUAGUUCAACGGAUAGAACAUUGGUCUUCGGAACCAAUGACGUGGGUUCGAUUCCUGCCAGGCGUACAA